GAAGUGAGAAGGAGCAGCCGUUUUGAGCGAUAUGCACGCUGAUGAGUAAACAGGAAACUCUACCUGCAAAGAUCGACAAGUUUCAUUGCAACGCAUUCCUUCUCUGUCCUGUUGAGAAGCAUUGCCUCGGUACCUGCGUCCAGCCCGCCGUGACCGUGUGCAAGGGGGGUUCUGGGACCCAUUCGGAUGGAAGAACAUUCCCCCACACACACCUUCAAGCAAUUCUCUGGACACCAGCUGCGUGCCCUACAACUUAACUCAAUUCUGACACGAUCUACCUGGAGACAGCGGCAGUUCCGCAGGUGUUAUAUGAAAAGUAGGAAGAAGAACGCGG